rnacentral:rRNA from 1 species
UACGUAGGGACCAAGCGUUGUUCGGAAUUACUGGGCGUAAAGGGCUCGUAGGCGGCCAACUAAGUCAGACGUGAAAUCCCUCGGCUUAACCGGGGAACUGCGUCUGAUACUGGAUGGCUUGAGGUUGGGAGAGGGAUGCGGAAUUCCAGGUGUAGCGGUGAAAUGCGUAGAUAUCUGGAGGAACACCGGUGGCGAAGGCGGCAUCCUGGACCAAUUCUGACGCUGAGGAGCGAAAGCUGGGGGAGCGAACGGG